AAGAAGGACAUGUCAUUUUUGAGGAACUUUAUCUCGAUUUCAUCGUCUCGAAGGUUGUGACAAUCGCAAUGUCUCAUCUGGUAAGUCCGCAAAUGAAAGCUCCUCAGUUAAAUCUGCUGGUUGUUGGUGCUCCAUCUCAUCACAAAUACACAGAAGCUAUAAUGAAAGAGAGAAGGUAGAAUGUUAUUUUUCUUUGAUCUUGUAUCUUUUAU
rnacentral:lncRNA from 1 species